GCAUUCUCAACUAAAAAUAUGUGGGUCAACACUGAUCGCCAGUCAGUGUGAGUAAAGUAAUGUUCACUUUACUUUCAAUGCAUUUUUCUGCAAAAGGUAAGGUACACACAUGUUCAAAAUAAUUUGCAUAUGAACAGCAUUUGUGUGCAUUUACCCUCCACUACACCACUGGUAACAUUCUGUAAAUGAUCUGUUAUAUACUCUUCUCUAAUACCGCUCUGGAUAAAGGCAAUCUACAAUUUUCUGAGUACAAAUGAAAAACGCUUUUAUUCCCCCAAAAUGUUGCCAUUUUCUAUGGUUUAGCAUAGCAUCUUUAAUACAUUGUUUACUUGCCGAUUAACAAUCAGUCCAGACAUAGCCAUCGAAAGCAGUCCUAGUGAAGCAUUUGUGUGACGCGGUAGCUACUGAGGUAAUUGUGGUGCUGGCUCUGUUUGUGGUACAAGGUGCAGGCCGCGAUGAAGAUCCUGUAGUAGAAAAUGAAGAUGAGGCCAUGGAGCUGUAGAAGGCCCUGAAGGUGGAGGAGAUGGUGUGGCCGAUGUGGUCAUGCUCUUGUAAUCACGUGUGGUGUGUGUGCGUUCGGUAUCCGGCACCCAUACACUUUCACAAAACGUGUGGUGAAGCUGAGUUGGCUGGGAGGAAGUGAGGCGAUCAUGUUAAUUGAGGGUUCUGGUUAGUAUAUAGCCCUGUCUGUCUCCUCAACUCACCACAUCCACUUAAUCCCUCUCUUAUUGUCUCAACAUCCAGUGGGAUAGUAGUGCCUGGCGUUCCAAACUACUACACAGUACACGGACUAUUGGCAGAGUUGGGAUUACAGCUACAAACAUCUGAUUCUGGUGGAACUGGGGAAAAGAAUGAAGAUUACAGUAGUGAUUUUUUGCUUGGUUGGGGCGGUUUAUGCCAACCCAAUUCUGUACAAAGCUAUUUUGGAACAGAGCGAACUGGAAUCAUCAAACAUGACUCAAACGCAAAGGUUAAGUUCAUCCGCCUCACAAUCUCCGCAUCAAAGUGACACUUCAGAGCUCAAGGUGGGUUGAAUGGAAUAAUAUUAAAAUGUCAACAGCUGUAGAAUGUAACACAUACAAUUGUAAGUGCAUUGGCGAAAAUCAGAAUAGGUCUUUAUCUAACACAUAUCCGUUACACUUUAUAAUUACUUGCACGAAUAAGACAUAAAUGUACUAUGCUUGUUAUUUGUAAUACAUAUAAAUGUUUAUAAUAACCCACAUCUCUUUUCUUAUAGAGCUCUGAAGAAAGUACCUCAGAGGACCAAGUAAGUUCAUCUUUUUUAAAAAAGGCUCAUUAUUUUCUGCUCAAAAGUAUUGACAUUACAAGCAAUGCCUAAAUAUAUCUGGGGGCGUAUUUACACAGCGUUUCAAAGCAGUAGUGCUGAUCUAGGAUCAGGUCCCCAUUGUCCAUGUAACCUUAUUCAUUAGGAUCUACAAGACAAAACUGAUCAUAGAUCAGCAUACUCUGAGACGCUUGAUACAUACGCUUGAUACAGACGCCCCUGUUCUCCUUUAUCAAGUGGCUCUAAUCUUUAAUGUGCAAUCUGUGUUAAAUUGCGUUUCAGAGUUCAGAGUCUGAGUCCGAAUCAUUGGAAUCCAAUUCAGAGGUGAGUGACAACAACAGUAUUCCUACUCCAGUAUUAUCCUUCCCAAAAAAUACUGUAUUAUUAACUGGGUGGUUCGAGCCCUGAAUGCUGAUUGGCUGACAGCCGUGGUAUAGCAGAGUAUGACAAAACAUAUAUUUUUACUGCUCUAAAUACGUUGGUAACAAGUUUAUAAUAGGAAUAAGACACCUCGGGGUUUAUAGUACAUGGCCAUUAUACCACGGCUAAGGGCUGUAUCUAGCCACUCCGAGUCGCAUCCUGCAUAAGAACACCCCUUAGCCGUGUUAUAUUGGUCAUAUACCACACCCCCCCGAGCCUUAUUGCUUAAGUAUACUAUGGUAUAAAUACUAUAUUAUUCACUGUAGUUUUUACUGUAGUAUACUGUAGUAUUCACAGUAAAAUAUAGUACAAACAGUGUAGUAAAAUACAUUUGUAGUAUAUACUAUAGUAAUUAAUGUAGUGUUUUUGCAGACUGUAGUAUACUGUAGUAUUUACUGUUGUGUUUUUGCGGAUAUUAAUAUAGUAUUUACUAUAGUGUUUUAGUUUUAUUAUCUUUGACAUAGAAGUGGAGGCUUUCUCCUUCAGGAAACCUACUGGAGAAAUACUAAAAGAGCACAUUUUCCAUAACCUGUACGUAGGUAGGACUGGGGUCUGAACGGAUAGUUCAGAGCUUCUGCUCUUUUCUAUACCCUGUAGAGAACGCAAUAUAUGUUCUAUACUUGGCAUGUAGGUUUCUCACUUAUGCGUGGCAUAAAUUGCUAUAAGGUGAGGGGAAUAGGCAGAGUAAAUGCAAAUGAAAUACUGUAAUAUAAAAAGUGCAGUAUUUUGCACAUUGUGGUGUUUUUGCAGACAUUACUGUAGUAUUUACUACGGAGCUUUUUUUUGCAGAUAAUACUGUAGUAUUUACUAUAGUAUUCUACAGUAUACUGCAAUGUUGUAUAGUAAGUACUAGAAAUGAUUGAGGGACACUACAGUGUGUAGUAUAGUAUUCUACAGUAUCCUACAGUUUACUAUAGAAUUCUAUAGUUAAGUAUUGUAGUAUUCUACAGUAAACUGUAGUAUUGUAUUUAAUGUGAGUUGUUCUGGUUGUGCAAAUACUAGGGCUGUUAGUCGAAUACAAAAGUAAAUACAUUGAAAAAUACCUCCCUGGUCCAUUUUGUUGUAAUCUGUUCCCCUUCACACAGUCUUCCGAGAGCCAUUCUUUAGAGAGUGAGAGCCAAUCACUGGAGGACAGGGUAAAGAUCCUCAGAUUUACAUCAUUUCACAGAUUGCAUAUCAAAACAAUAAAAUGAGAAAGAUGCAAUCA
rnacentral:lncRNA from 13 species